rnacentral:rRNA from 1 species
ACUCCUACUGGGAGGCAGCAGUGGGAAUAUUGCACAAUGGGCGCAAGCCUGAUGCAGCCAUGCCGCGUGUAUGAAGAAGGCCUUCGGGUUGUAAAGUACUUUCAGCAGUGAGGAAGGUAGUGUAGUUAAUAGCUGCAUUAUUUGACGUUAGCUGCAGAAGAAGCACCGGCUAACUCCGUGCCAGCAGCCGCGGUAAUACGGAGGGUGCGAGCGUUAAUCGGAAUUACUGGGCGUAAAGCGCAUGCAGGUGGUUUGUUAAGUCAGAUGUGAAAGCCCGGGGCUCAACCUCGGAAUAGCAUUUGAAACUGGCAGACUAGAGUACUGUAGAGGGGGUAGAAUUCCAGGUGUAGCGGUGAAAUGCGUAGAGAUCUGAAGGAAUACCGGUGGCGAAGGCGGCCCCUGACAGAUACUGACACUCAGAUGCGAAAGCGUGGGGAGCAAACAGGG